ACUAAAAACUUAGUUUUCAUAUAUAAGUUCAUAUCGAUGAACGUACAGAAUACUACACGUUAUUGAAACAAGAAAAGAGAACACAGAUAAAGUCUAUCAUCAUCCAUAUACAUAAUGUGACACACAAAUGAUCGAGAUUGUCGCAAUUUUCUCAAGUCGAUCACUUUAUCGCUAGUGUCGUUCUCUUAUUCUUGCCAACUGUUAUCAAGAAACGUAACCUCGAACAAUCGAUAUACAGAUCUUAAUGAUCAUUUUGCACAAUAUGGAAGUAACGUUGCUACACCGCUGCGUGAUAAACGACCGAUUCAUACCAUCUUCCGAGAUUCGAUCGUUAUCUAUAACGCAGUAUGUAACACUUUAGCAGGCGUUCAGAUCUAACACAAGACGCGAAGUCGUAUAUAACGCGAAGAAGACACAAAGGAAAAAGAAACGAAGCGAAACGACGCUUGCUCGCCUCAUAAAACAAUAACUGCUAAUAAGACGCAAUUGUUCGUACCACGGAAGUAAUAGAAGCAACUCCGAGAGCCUAAUAAAACUUCUCAGUUCCAUCUGUCGCUGCCGACUCUACGUUAAUAUAAUUAUCGGACUCUGCCAUAUUUGUGCAAAAUCCAUAUUUUUAUAAAUGUAAUGAAUAUUCACAUUUUUCAUAUUUAUAAAUACUUAAGAAACUUCAUACUUUUGUGGAUAUUGUAAAUAUAAGAAGAAGGUGGAUAUCGACUCUUCACUGAUAUAAUUAGUACAGUGUGCAUAUUUAUACAAAAUCCAUAUUUUUAUAAAUAUAAUGAAUAUUCACAUUUUUCAUAUUUAUAAAUACUUAAGAAACUUCAUACUUUUGUGGAUAUUGUAAAUAUAAGAAGAAGGUGGAUAUCGAAUCUUCACUAAUAUAAUUAGUACACUGUGCAUAUUUAUACAAAAUCCAUAUUUUUAUAAAUAUAAUGAAUAUUCACAUUUUUCAUAUUUAUAAAUACUCGAGAAACUUCAUACUUUUGUGGAUAUUGUAAAUAUAAGAAGAAGGUGGAUAUCGACUCUUCACUAAUAUAAUUAGUACACUGUGCAUGUUUAUGCAAAAUUCAUAUUUUUAUAAAAAUAAUCGAAGAAACGGGCCUAGGUAGAAAAUCGUUUUAUCCAUCAGAAAUUACACAGAGUGCUAUAUUUCGGAUAUUUUAUACAUUUUAGCAAAUAGUGCGCAUUCUGUGUAUGUUGAGUUUCCUAUAUGAAAGCAUGGAAAUCCACGACACAAAAGAUUAAUUACGAUAACGAUUGUAUAAAAAAAUUCUAGAAUGGAACGAACAAACAAGAAGAUAAAUGUGUUUGCGUAGUCUCAUUAUUUCAGACUACAUAUAUAUGGUUAUGUUAAUAUUUCCCCACGAUUCUCUAUCACAUUAGAUAAACUGUAAUUCUACCUUAUCUAAAACGUAUCAUUGCACAGAUAGCAAUUAAUCGAUUUACUUUAAUUAAAAAAUUGAUUUAUCGAUUUUCUACUUGUCAAAAGAGACGCGUGUUUCGAAGUAUGCGAACAUACGUCGUCACAACUCGUUGCUCGAAUGGUUCGAAAUUACGAGAGCGGAUCCACGCUCGGAUCGUUUUCGCAUGAAUUCUUGUAAGAAGCCGAUUUUCCGCUUGGCAGUCCACGACAACAAUUUCUUUCCAAUCAACUACCAUUUUUGUCCCUUUCAUUGAUCGUUCGAUCGUUUCAUUGUUUACGCAAAUCUUAUCGAUAUUGAAGUAGUUUGUAGAUAUACAUGUAAGUAGUUCUAUCGACUCAUUCAGUACUCGUAGCAUUCAUUGCGUUUGCAAUAUCUCGUGGAACUUUUGCCACAUGCAUUUUUCAAACAUUUUCUCUAUAUUUAACGUUUCAUUGCACUCGCGCUUGAAAAGUUCUUCGAUAAGACCAAUGGGUAACGAGAGUUAUUUUAGAUAGUAUUAUUCUUAUUGACAGCCUGUACGUAAUAGAGUAUUUACUAUAAUAUUUAGUACACGAAACCUAUUUACAUUCCAAGUUCUUCAGUCACGUUGAUGAAAAUAUAAAAAUUCGUAAAAAUUCAUAGCUAAUAUAGAACAAACAUUGUCAAAGAUAAAAUGUGCAGAUUACAGAGAAUUCGUGGCAAUGAUCGCGCCAAUCGAAAGUUCCGAGAUUUAAAAUUCCUACAAGGAAACGCUGUCUCAUCAGCAACCACGAAGCGUGUGUUAAUCGAUACACGUUUCCUUGGCUUCUCUUAGCCAAAUGGAGUAAAAGAUUGAGAGCCACUGAGACCGCUGGCAAAUAAAUAGAUCACCGACGAAGCUCCUUCGAUUGUCAAUACUCUUCAGAAUUGGAUGAAGAACGAUAGCAGGAAGGAAGGAAGGAAGGGAGGGAGGAAGAGGUAAAGUAAUGCAUUACUGGCAAAGAAGAGGCGGAAAGAGGUGAAACGGGUAUGUAUGGUAGACGACACGAUGUCAGGUCGGUUGGACGAUGACGAACGCCCGCUAUCAACUUCCUGCUAGAAUUGAUAUAGAUGCGCGGGCCCUCUGUUCCUACUACGUUAAACGCGACGAAAGGGUCGUUGAUCCGGAUAGUUCAGCAAGUUAUCGCCUUUUUUUCCCCAACGAUCGACGCUGUGUUUCGCGUGGGAAUUCCUGAAAUGUCGGAUCCGAUGGAAACGCCGACGAGUUGUGAAAAAAAAAGGACGGAAUUUUUCUGGCCAAUUCGAGAUCAAUCGAAAGGCGAAACAGGGGGAGAUUGAUAUCGCCGCGAUGAAAAUUGAGGAAAAACUGUCGAGUCGACGAACGCAUUGUAUCGUUUCUGGAAUUUCGCGAUUUCAGCUUUUGAAAUUCCUCGAAGCCUAACGUUGUGUUGGAUAAUACAUUUUAUUUGUUUAAGUAUUCUCGACUUAUUUUUCUCAUCGAGAUAUAGCAUGUUAUUACCUUCCUGGAAAGUUAUACUAAUCGAUGAAAAUUGAGGAAAAAUUGUUCGGUUAAAGAACGUACUUGUUGGAUUUUUAAGGAUUUUUCGAAGUACAAUGGAGUAUACAAUGGAGUAAGUAUACAAGAAUCUUGUAGUAACAGAGAAAAUAAUGGAAAUAAUGCAUGCAUAGAAUGUAAUGGAAUGAAUCGAUUAACAAAAAUCCCAAAAAUAUGUGCUCGGAGAAAUCCAAUAAUAUUGAAGUACCAGAGACAAUAAUAAUAAUAAUACAACCGUGUUUUCCUUUCACUUUUCGGAGAAUAUAGCUUCUCAUCGGUCAAACACGUAAAUACAGAGGUCUAUAAAAUCCUUGGUGAUAAAUAUAACUGGAGUGAAUGAGCUUAUUGAUAACAGAAGAUCACAGGAUGUUCCUCUCUUGUAAAAGCAAUCUCGUAAUCUCUCAUAACAACAUAAAAUCACCCAGAAGAAAAACGUCUUUUCGGACUACACUUGUGUUUUCAAAAGAAAUUACGCGUUUACACUGCAAGAUAGAAUUAUACGUUCGAUGUAAUUUUUAGCGUUUUCAAUGAUUUAUUGCUAGGACUAUACUCUGAAACUGAGUUUUGUAUUGCAUGCCUGUGUGUAUUAUAGCUAGGCUACGAAUUUUUAUACAUUUAUUGCUACAGUCAUUCGUUCUUUUUCGUUCAACAACUCAUCGCAUAAAAAUUCGAAAAAUAUACACUACGAAAUCAAGUACGUUUUGUACUAUUUGUACGUACAAUUAAUUGCCGUUAUUUGCAAAUAGUUGUAUGUAUAGUAAUUUAAAGAUGCAGCAAUAUAUUCAAAAUAAGGUACGAUACGUAAAUCGAGUUACACAGAACAAUUUAUAUCUACCUUUAUUUAUAAAUCACACAAAUCUUCAUAAAACUAAAUAAACUUACAAUAUUACCCAGCAGUGUAUUCUAUACCCUAUCCAUGGUGUACUUAAGCAUAAAAAUCCACUAACAACCUUCCACGUUAUAAUAUACCGAAACCCAUAUCGAAUUAUUCUUAGAAUCUCGACAGAUCUCGAGAAUGAAUCCAAUUUAAUUUCAUCCAGCAUGGAAUUACACAAUUCCAAUAUUUUUUUUGACAGCGAUCUGUUUACCAACAAGCAGCCGGCCAUUUUCGAGCGCGCGGUACAGGGCGUAACCAAAGCCGCGUAAAACCUGUC
rnacentral:lncRNA from 1 species